UUUCAUUUAGAUAUACCGAUCCAUUUAUGGGCGAGUUGUUCUCCUCAACAUCAUUAUGUCUUUGAACAUGGUUUUGAGCUUCAUGAGGGUAUCCAUUGCUGGUUCUCUCACUUCCAUUUUCGGAAACACAAGGACUCAAAGAAGCACUAUUCUCAUCUUUAGUUUUGAGACAAGACUGCUCCCUACUGUUAGAUGGAGCCAUACCAGAAUAUGGAAGGGCAGUAGAAGAAUUUGAAGUCUUCUUCCUCAUUAAAUUGAAAAAAUCACUCCUG
rnacentral:misc_RNA from 1 species